AUGAGGGUGAUUCAGCUGCAAAAUCUGUCCCCCCAUUAAGACAACCUUCCCUGAUAGAGGAGGACCAUUCUUUGAUCAAGUGUAUACAAGUAGCUGCACUUUCCUGCUAGAACCUCCAAACAAGCUCUCAAGGCCCAAAGUGGUUGCACCAAUUUGCAGUUCCACCAGCAAUGUAUGAGCAUACUUUUUUUUUUCCAU
rnacentral:snRNA from 1 species